rnacentral:sRNA from 1 species
GCUGGGUGUGGUGGCGCACGCCUGAAAUCCCAGCAGCUCGGGAGGCUGAGGCAGGAGGAUUGGGAGCUCAGAGCCAGCCUCAG